rnacentral:rRNA from 1 species
UGGGGAAUCUUGCACAAUGGGCGAAAGCCUGAUGCAGCAACGCCGCGUGCGGGAAGACAGCCCUAGGGUUGUAAACCGCUUUCAGCAGGGAAGAAACUGACGGUACCUGCAGAAGAAGAUGCGGCCAACUACGUGCCAGCAGCCGCGGUGACACGUAGGCAUCAAGCGUUAUCCGGAUUUAUUGGGCGUAAAGAGCUCGUAGGCGGUUCGGUAAGUCGGGUGUGAAAACUCUGGGCUCAACCCAGAGAGGCCACUCGAUACUGCUGUGACUAGAGUGCGGUAGGGGAGCGGGGAAUUCCUGGUGUAGCGGUGAAAUGCGUAGAUAUGUGGAGGAAUACCGGUGGCGAAGGCGGCCUCCUGGCUCGAUACUGACGCUGAGGUGCGAAAAGCGUGGGGAGCAAAACAGGAUUAGAUACCCUGGUAGUCCACGCUGUAAACGAUGGGUACUCGGUGUUGCGGUGUUGACCCCUGCAAUGCCUUAGCUAACGCGUUAAGUACCCCGCCUGGGAGUACGGUCGCAAGGCUG